rnacentral:rRNA from 1 species
GACGAACGCUGGCGGCGUGCUUAACACAUGCAAGUCGAACGGUGACGAGGAGCUUGCUCCUCCGAUCAGUGGCGAACGGGUGAGUAACACGUGAGUAACCUGCCCCAGACCCUGGGAUAACAGUUGGAAACAGCUGCUAAUACCGGAUACGAGACGGAGAGGCAUCUCUACCGUCUGGAAAGAUUUAUCGGUCUGGGAUGGACUCGCGGCCUAUCAGCUUGUUGGUGAGGUAAAGGCUCACCAAGGCGACGACGGGUAGCCGGCCUGAGAGGGCGACCGGCCACACUGGGACUGAGACACGGCCCAGACUCCUACGGGAGGCAGCAGUGGGGAAUAUUGCACAAUGGGCGAAAGCCUGAUGCAGCGACGCCGCGUGAGGGAUGACGGCCUUCGGGUUGUAAACUGCUUUUGUACGGAACGAAAAGACUCUUUCUAAUACAGAGGGUCCAUGACGGUACCGUAAGAAUAAGCACCGGCUAACUACGUG